CAGUCGCCACGGGAAUACAGAGGGUGCGAGCGUUAAUCGGAUUUACUGGGCGUAAAGCGUGCGUAGGCGGCUUUUUAAGUCGGAUGUGAAAUCCCUGAGCUUAACUUAGGAAUUGCAUUCGAUACUGGGAAGCUAGAGUAUGGGAGAGGAUGGUAGAAUUCCAGGUGUAGCGGUGAAAUGCGUAGAGAUCUGGAGGAAUACCGAUGGCGAAGGCAGCCAUCUGGCCUAAUACUGACGCUGAGGUACGAAAGCAUGGGGAGCAAACAGGAUUAGAUAUCCCUGUAGUCCCUGUCUCUUAUAC
rnacentral:rRNA from 1 species